UACGUAGGGAGCGAGCGUUGUCCGGAAUGAUUGGGCGUAAAGCGUCUGUAGGUGGUUUAAUAAGUCAACUGUUAAAUCUUGAGGCUCAACCUCAAAAUCGCAGUCGAAACUAUUAGGCUAGAGUAUAGUAGGGGGUAAAGGGAAUUUCCAGUGGAGCGGUGAAAUGCGUAGAGAUUGGAAAGAACACCGAUGGCGAAGGCACUUUACUGGGCUAUUACUAACACUCAGAGACGAAAGCUAGGGUAGCAAAUGGGG
rnacentral:rRNA from 1 species